rnacentral:rRNA from 1 species
GAUGAACGCUAGCGGCAGGCUUAAUACAUGCAAGUCGAACGGUAAGAGAUGUAGCAAUACAUUUCCUAGAGUGACGUACGGGUGCGUAACACGUAUGCAACCUACCUGUAACAGGAGUAUAGCUCGGGGAAACUCGAAUUAACCCUCCAUAAGAUCGUGAAGUGGCAUCACUUAGCGCUUAAAACUGAGGUGGUUACAGAUGGGCAUGCGUCUG